UUAAGCGACUAAGCGUACACGGUGGAUGCCCUGGCAGUCAGAGGCGAUGAAGGACGUGCUAAUCUGCGAUAAGCGUCGGUAAGGUGAUAUGAACCGUUAUAGCCGACGAUUUCCGAAUGGGGAAACCCAGUGUGUUUCGACACACUAUCGUUAAGUGAAUACAUAGCUUAACGAAGCGAACCGGGGGAACUGAAACAUCUAAGUACCCCGAGGAAAAGAAAUCAACCGAGAUUCCCCCAGUAGCGGCGAGCGAACGGGGAGCAGCCCAGAGCCUGAAUCAGUGUGUGUGUUAGUGGAAGCGUCUGGAAAGGCGCGCGAUACAGGGUGACAGCCCCGUACACAAAAAUGCACAUACUGUGAGCUCGAUGAGUAGGGCGGGACACGUGGUAUCCUGUCUGAAUAUGGGGGGACCAUCCUCCAAGGCUAAAUACUCCUGACUGACCGAUAGUGAACCAGUACCGUGAGGGAAAGGCGAAAAGAACCCCGGCGAGGGGAGUGAAAAAGAACCUGAAACCGUGUACGUACAAGCAGUGGGAGCACGCUUAGGCGUGUGACUGCGUACCUUUUGUAUAAUGGGUCAGCGACUUAUAUUCUGUAGCAAGGUUAACCGAAUAGGGGAGCCGAAGGGAAACCGAGUCUUAACUGGGCGUUAAGUUGCAGGGUAUAGACCCGAAACCCGGUGAUCUAGCCAUGGGCAGGUUGAAGGUUGGGUAACACUAACUGGAGGACCGAACCGACUAAUGUUGAAAAAUUAGCGGAUGACUUGUGGCUGGGGGUGAAAGGCCAAUCAAACCGGGAGAUAGCUGGUUCUCCCCGAAAGCUAUUUAGGUAGCGCCUCGUGAAUUCAUCUCCGGGGGUAGAGCACUGUUUCGGCAAGGGGGUCAUCCCGACUUACCAACCCGAUGCAAACUGCGAAUACCGGAGAAUGUUAUCACGGGAGACACACGGCGGGUGCUAACGUCCGUCGUGAAGAGGGAAACAACCCAGACCGCCAGCUAAGGUCCCAAAGUCAUGGUUAAGUGGGAAACGAUGUGGGAAGGCCCAGACAGCCAGGAUGUUGGCUUAGAAGCAGCCAUCAUUUAAAGAAAGCGUAAUAGCUCACUGGUCGAGUCGGCCUGCGCGGAAGAUGUAACGGGGCUAAACCAUGCACCGAAGCUGCGGCAGCGACACUAUGUGUUGUUGGGUAGGGGAGCGUUCUGUAAGCCGUUGAAGGUGUGCUGUGAGGCAUGCUGGAGGUAUCAGAAGUGCGAAUGCUGACAUAAGUAACGAUAAAGCGGGUGAAAAGCCCGCUCGCCGGAAGACCAAGGGUUCCUGUCCAACGUUAAUCGGGGCAGGGUGAGUCGACCCCUAAGGCGAGGCCGAAAGGCGUAGUCGAUGGGAAACAGGUUAAUAUUCCUGUACUUGGUGUUACUGCGAAGGGGGGACGGAGAAGGCUAUGUUGGCCGGGCGACGGUUGUCCCGGUUUAAGCGUGUAGGCUGGUUUUCCAGGCAAAUCCGGAAAAUCAAGGCUGAGGCGUGAUGACGAGGCACUACGGUGCUGAAGCAACAAAUGCCCUGCUUCCAGGAAAAGCCUCUAAGCAUCAGGUAACAUCAAAUCGUACCCCAAACCGACACAGGUGGUCAGGUAGAGAAUACCAAGGCGCUUGAGAGAACUCGGGUGAAGGAACUAGGCAAAAUGGUGCCGUAACUUCGGGAGAAGGCACGCUGAUAUGUAGGUGAAGUGAUUUACUCAUGGAGCUGAAAUCAGUCGAAGAUACCAGCUGGCUGCAACUGUUUAUUAAAAACACAGCACUGUGCAAACACGAAAGUGGACGUAUACGGUGUGACGCCUGCCCGGUGCCGGAAGGUUAAUUGAUGGGGUUAGCGGUAACGCGAAGCUCUUGAUCGAAGCCCCGGUAAACGGCGGCCGUAACUAUAACGGUCCUAAGGUAGCGAAAUUCCUUGUCGGGU
rnacentral:rRNA from 1 species